rnacentral:rRNA from 1 species
AACGAACGCUGGCGGCAUGCCUAACACAUGCAAGUCGAACGAGACCUUCGGGUCUAGUGGCGCACGGGUGCGUAACGCGUGGGAACCUGCCCUUAGGUUCGGAAUAACUCUCCGAAAGGGGUGCUAAUACCGGAUAAUGUCUUCGGACCAAAGAUUUAUCGCCUUUGGAGGGGCCCGCGUUGGAUUAGCCGGUGGGUAGGGUAAAAGCCUACCAAGGCGACGAUCCAUAGCUGGUCUGAGAGGAUGAUCAGCCACACUGGGACUGGGACACGGCCCAGACUCCUACGGGAGGCAGCAGUGGGGAAUAUUGGACAAUGGGCGAAAGCCUGAUCCACCAAUGCCGCGUGAGUGAUGAAGGCCUUAGGGUUGUAAAGCUCUUUUACCCGGGAUGAUAAUGACAGUACCGGGAGAAUAAGCUCCGGCUAACUCCGUG